UGUGUGUGUGUGUGUGUGUGUGUGCUGAGUGCCUUUGCCAGAGGCCAGCACUGCCCUAUUGAGCUGGAGAAUGUGAUUUCAGUGGCAGCGCGCCUCGUACUCCUGAUUUACCUCUGCUUGACUCCUGUUGGGGUCUGUGGCCGACAGGAAGCACGGGGCAGAGUAAGAGAGGCUUCACGGGGAGACUGGUCGCAGUGGCAGGAUGGGAGGAGGGAAGGAAACCACUUGAAAGAGGUCUGUCCUGUUUGUGUGCGUGCAUGCGUGUGUGUGUGUGUCUUUGUGUGAGAUAUUCUGCACGCCUCCCUGUGUGCGUGUGUGUAGAUUUAUUUGUUGUUCAAUACAAAAUAGAAAAAUUUGACACGUCAUCCAACCGAUGCAGACAAACACACACGCAGACACACACACAAAAAUAAUACGCACACGGCACCACAUUUACCUUCAUUCUCCUGCGAGUUCUUGAAAUAAAAAAGGGAUGAAGGAGAGCCAGUCAGAGGCAAAGAUAAGGAGAGAGAGAGAGAGAGAGAGAGAGAGAGAGAGAGAGAGAGAGAGAGAGAGAGAGAGAGAGAGCGUGCUAGAUACUUCACUGAGCUUGACGUAUUAAGGCAGCUGCCGAUGUCUGUUAAGAGUCUAUGUAUUCGCUCGUGUGUUGCUGACAGAUUGCCACAGCUUGUGUGUGCAUGCAAGUGUGUGUGCAUGUGUGUGUGUGUGUGUGUGUGUGUGCUAGCAACGCCCAGAUUGCCCACCAAUUCUAUUGUCUUAUUGUGUGUGUACAUUCCACCACUCCAGAUGAUACGUUUCGUGCAUGUUGCAUUUAAUAAGGGCACAGUGCCUGCUGUCUAAACGUCUUAUUUGCAUGUGGCGAGAAUAGAUUCAGGGGCGGAUACGGGAAUUAGGCUAAUUGGUAUCAUGACAAUAAAGUGUGAAGGACAGCCUGACAAACAAACACAUAUAUAUAUACAUAUAUAUAUAUAUAUAUAUAUAUAUAUAUAUAUAUAUAUAUAUAUAUAUAUAUAUAUAUAUAUAUAUAUAUAUAUAUAGGCAUAUGUAGGCAUAUAUAGGCCUACACAUAAGUAUACACAACAAUACAUCUUCACCCAAGCACACAAAUUGUUAACAUUUUUAGCAUCCCUUCCAGCUCACAUUUCUCUGUUUCUGACUUAAAAAUCCUUAAAAUCCUAUUCUAGAUAUAUAUUCUGUCAAAAACAUAGUUGCAUACAUUUGGUAUGCCUUUCUGAAAUGUGUUUUUACAUUUUUUCUUUUCUGCUAACGUUUUGUCUGACUUAUUUAAACCUAUUUAAACCUUUUUAUUGGGAUUUUCUUUUUUUUUUCAACAUUUGUAUAGACAGAUAAUUCAAACCUACACAGUGUCUUGUACUACCCUUUUAUUAUUGUUAUGUUGGGUGCAUUUCACUACAUACUCUAUCUUCAGUGGUUCUUCUGAAAUAAGCAAUCGCACACCUACUUGACAUCGAUUAAUACUUUAUUCGUCCUGAAGGAAAUUCAGUUUCAAUAAAGUUUCUAGGUUAAAAACAGGUCUCUGGUCAAAUAGACCAAAAUAUGAGAUCCUAUGUCUUUUCCUAACCACUUUUCCUCGAUGGAAAACGUAAUUGGAUCAAGAAAAAAUGUGAAGGAGAAUUAAUAAUAACUAGAAAAGAAAAGACAAGAGAUUCCAACAGGCUACGUAAUGAUGGCAGCUGAUUUUGACAUAUUGAUCGUUCGUCAGCCAAGGAAUUGUCUGAAUUUUCUCAUCUCCUUACAUAAAGGAUGAUCCAGUGUACCCAAGGAUAAAGGAGAUACGAAAGGAAGCACUGAGUUUCCUUUCUUAAGCAUUUACAGAAUUGGCCCCAUAAUGCUGGCAGCCACUCAGAUACCUCAGGGUCAACUCACUCAGUGAAGAACCUUCAGUUCCCAGCCUUCAGUUAGGCAGUACAAAACACUAUUGCAUAUUCAUCAUAUUCAUGUUCACAGCUCGAGAUUCUCUGAAGGCGAUUCCUAUUGCUGCAGUGAUUGUACAGUUGGUAGAUAGACUGAGUUGAAAUUCAAUUUCCCAAACACCCCCAAAGAUCGGGGGGUAUUUGGGCAUUGAAUUUGGAGGAGGGCUGAUAUUGGUUCGAUUUCCCUUGCAGCUCUCGCUCUUAAGCUAGCAAUGUUUCUGGUAGCUCCGUUUCCGCUCCACAGAAGUAGGUACCUCUCUCUGAAAGUGAGCCUUUUAGCUUAACGAUUUACCCCCUGAGCGCAAGCAAGACGGCGUCUGAUUCCAUAGAAGUGAGGAGCUCACGGUGCGCCGACCUAGGGGUUAAGCAUGUGAACAUCGCAUAACUUUUUUUUCAUCGUGACUCCCCCCUUUAAUGGUGAAAGGAAACAAUUGACCAAUGUAAAGAAGAAAGGAGGGCUUAAAGGGGGUAGACAAGCAGGUGGUAGGUUGACCAUAAGAGGAACUUUGGUCUUCCUCAUAGUAUCCAAUACUGCCUCCCUAUUUCAGAAAAUACUCAAGAUCUUUUUUCAAGCAACGUGGUGACGGGAUGGAUAGUAUCCAAUACAAUGGGGAGUAGAGGGUCUCCAUGAGCUUCUGUAAGGUUCUGAGCCUUGCAGCCACGCAUAUCAGUCCAGAAAGUCUCUAAAAAUCACAAAAUAACGCCGCAUUUUUCUGGAGGGACUAUAGCGACAUUGAGAGGCAUAUAAUAUGCAUGACAAAGGCGUAAUAGGGCAAGGUUUAGUUGCGUUCAUUUAAAGCAUUCCAAAUACUGGCUGGGUGUUUCAUUUUCUGCAUCACUCAAAAAGAGUGAAAGAGUGAUUGUGGUGACCGAAGGAACACCAAUAAGCGAUAAUUGAAGUGGUCCUUCGGGAGGCUAAUCCCAUUUCCGCACUCAACGCCUAGCCAAUCCCAGCCUCUCUCCUCUCUCCGUGGCCUAAUUCCUCAUCAACUUAAUCCCCAUAUCAUGGUCGUUUUAUUAAGUAUACAAUAGCCAACAUGGAGGCUCUGUAAACGAUAGGGAUUAUCGACCGUUCUGUUAACUGGGGCUGGAAGCGAAUGGAAGGGCGCUGACUCAGGACGCUGUCCGCAACCUGUGGCCUGAAUCGCCGCCGUCUCUUAAUCAUGAACUUCUGAGCAAACAGAAAUACUGUCAGUCAUUUACCGGUCCCUUUCACCUUCGUGGUCUGGCCAACACACACAUGCACCCGUGCACUCAUGCACAGUCCCAAUGGGGAGAUAAGGCAGAUGUUUAGGCUGGUAGUCCUCAACAGGAUGCACUAUUAACCAGACCGCUGCGUUGAUCGUUGAUCAUUAUCAACAGGACUGAGAUGAUUUAUUUAAUUUUAUUUCAUACGUACCGUUUUGUUUUGCCUUACCUUAUUCACUAUUUAGAAUUUGUUUAAUGUAAAUAUUACUCAUUUUAUCUUAUGCUUUUGUUUUUAUUGCACUGUGGGACGGAGAUAAAGCAAUUCCGAUCCCUCUGUGUGUCUGGCACAUAUUUUGGAAUUGACGAUAGAGUUGGCUUUGAUUUUGCAAUGUCGGUGCUACUCGCCACCGGGGCGGUGGUCACUCCACACCCAGGGGGCUUUCUCUGGGCUCCUCCCCCCCGAGGACACAGGGUCCAGGGUGGUGCAUGAAGAUGGUGAUUCAUUCUGCCCUGUAGGAGUUCUCCCUGAGUGUGUGUGUGUGUGUGUGUGUGUGUGUGUGUGUGUGUGUGUGUGUGUGUGUGUGUGUGUGUGUGUGUGUGUGUGUGUGUGUGUGUGUGUGUGUGUGUGUGUGUGUGUGUGUGUGUGUGUGUGUGUGUGUGUGUGUGUGUGUGUGUGCGUGAGAGAUCCUUUGCCAUCCUGAACGAUGAAACAUUGCAUCUGAACCUGUUCUGGCGUUGCUAUGGUAACUCCUGUCAGGGCGGCAGGGGCCCCGCCACACACACACACACACACACACACACACACACACACACACACACACACACACACACACACACACACACACACACACACCACACAAAGCAGUAAUGGGAGCUCAAGAAACUGGAUGCCAGGACAGUCUAGCACAGUCGAGGACAUCCAUUUACUACACACACACACACACACACACACACACACACACACACACACACACACACACACACACACACACACACACACACACACACAACACACAAACACAAACGUACGCACACACAUACACACAAACACAUACACACACACACACAACCCCCACAUGCCAAUCUCCUAGUGCUCUGAAGGACAACGUGAUUUGUGGAAACACAAUUUUCAAGAUGAGGCAGACUGGAUAUACAUUAAGAAAUGUAGCUCUAAAUAUAAUAAUAAAUGUCGAUUUGUAUACCACAACCAUAGUCAACCAAUCAACAUCAGUUAAAAACGAUACAAAAUCGAUCUGCCUAUCUAUAAGUUGUUUUCAAAGACGACAUUUUAUUUGCUUUUAUUAAAAUAAAUGCCAAUGUUGUUUUAUGUUAACAUUCAUUAUUUGUGUAAGCAUUUGUUGUUUUCCCCUCUGAUGUAUCAGCUCUAUACAAAGCUGACUAUGUUCUACAUGUCAUACCGUCCGCUCUACAUGGAGCUGGCAGUGCUCCUCAUGGAUCACUGUCAGCUCCUCUAAGUCCCGUUAGCAAAGCCUCAUUUCACUUUCUCCUGGUGGAAGACGGUCUUCCACCAGGGUGUAAUAAAAUCCUAUUGCUGUUAAACAAUGGCUUAGGUUUUAUGGUUUAACGAGGUGCAACCAAGAUUUAAGCAUUAACGUGCGAUGUAUUUAGCUGCAGCCUUUGUAAAAGUUAUAAAUUGUCAUUGGUUUGUAUUAUUUACAUUAAUGAUAUAAUUAUUCUCUCAUGGCCACUAUCAGAAGGACUGGUGGCUGGAGUAUGGUGCAUCGUUUGUAAUUUGAAAGUAGUAUAAAAGAUGAAUUAAAUCCAUUCCCACUCAGUGUGUAUCAUAGCAACAGAAGGCCACUGUCUUGUUAUCCAGUGCAUUGAUUGACGUGAGUGAGUCCCAGUGAACCAGAGAUGAUUUGGUUUGAGAUUGUUAGACAGUGGAGACUGCAGCGUAUCUCUGCCAGACGGAUCCUCCUCCCCCCCCCCUCCAUUUUAACACCCAAUUCUCUCGCUUUCUAUCCGUCCCCCGCCUAUUAUCCACCUCCUUCCUGCUGUCAUCCCCUGCUCUAUUUGAGGUCCUCUUUUUACCACUCUCCCUUUGAUUCUUACCACUCUCUCUCCCACUCUCUCACUCCCAGUUUAUAAUGGUAGGGGGGCUCGCUGGGCUGUCUCUGCCACUUUCAUGGGCGAGUGUCAGUAGCAGGGGAAGGGUACAAAGUGCAGUGUUGUGGAGUGUGUGAGUGUGUGUGUGUGUGUGUGUGUGUGUGUGUGUGUGUGUGUGUGUGUGUGUGUGUGUGUGUGUGUGUGUGUGUGUGUGUGUGUGUGUGUGUGUGUGUGAUGAACAGGAAGUAGAGAGAGAGAAGGAGAUUGCCAUGGUGAACUUGUGAGAUGGGUGGGGUUGCGUUUCAGUGGAAGAGGAGGUGUGUGAUUUUUACAUAUUUGAAUAUUUAUUUAUGGAAAGAACGCAAGCUCACCCCCUUUGCGUUGAUGUUGACCCUCAACCUGCGCCGCACGUUAAAAGGUGUACACUACGGAUGAUUGACAAGGACAGCCUACCAAUACCAGUGCCCCUUGACAGGGGAUGUAGAAUAACCGAGCCACUAUCUCAUGAGUUAAAGUCUUAUGAAUAAGUUUGAAUUUGAAUGCAGAUCGGCCGCAUUUUAAUGCAUUACAUUACAGCCUGGUCUGGAAACAUGUGGGACCUCUAUGAAUGGUUAAUGGACCAUCAGUUAACUGAUUGAAAGAGAGAGAGGGAGGGAGGGAGGGAGGGAGAGAGAGAGAGAGAGAGAGAGAGAGAGAGAGAGAGAGAGAGAGAGAGAGAGAGAGAGAGAGAGAGAGAGAGAGAGAGAGAGAGAGAGAGAGAGAGAGAGAGAGAGAGAUGAUUUAGAGCAUUUGAAAUUAGUCGUUUUUAAAUGUAGUCCUAUAAUAUCAUAAAGUUAUUCAGAAAUCACCCCUGAAAAUUGGGAAUCCUUCAGGAAGCAUCACUCAGUCCUUUUCAUCCAUCCUACAACAGAUACUUGAAAUGCGAGUUUUGGGUGCAUCCGUCAUAUUAAGAUUCUAGGCCUGUGAUCUGCAUUUUUGUCACAUGAAUGCGUUUGUUUCCCUUGAAAUGCAAAUACUCUCUGAGCCCCAUAAAAGCUCAGUGAGGCAGAGGGCAUUUCUUCAAAAUGUCCUGAUCACUGAAAUCGAUCUUUAGACCGCUGAUGUUCCUUUAUGUUUCCAAGUUUCAUUCUGUUUGAUAAAAUACGUUAGAAUAGGGUAAUAAUAACUAUACUAUGACAAUAAAAAACUGGAAAUCUAUUCAGCAGUCAUCUAUGAGUACUACAGAGUCUAAUUGAUUGACUAAAAGUAUAAACAUUAGGAAUAUUUAAGCAAUGGUUCAUAUAUUACAUUAAACUAAAGUGUCAUCUUCUGUCAUUUGCAUAUACUCUUCUAAUAUGGAAUUUAUAUUCCGCCUUAUCAAUUACAUUAUGCGAGCACGAACACACACAAACACACACACACGUACACAUACAAAUACACACGCACACACACACACACAAAGAAAUCUUUGUUAAAUCUCCAUCUAUUGUUUAAGGCAUCAUUACAAUGAUGUAAGAUAUGUCAUUGAUUUUUCUGUGUUUAAAAACAUGUGGAUGAGCAAGAGUUGUCCUUACAUAUUUAGAUCAAUAAAUCACAAAAUAAUUGCUAGUUUAAAUGAAGUGUGUGUGUGUGUGUGUGUGUGUGUGUGUGUGUGUGUGUGUGUGUGUGUGUGUGUGUGUGUGUGUGUGUGUGUGUGUGUGUGUGUGUGUGUGUGUCUGUGUGUGUUUGUCUCUGCGGUGGAGCUAUACAUACAAACCUAUUUGGUCCGAUCAUUGUUUGCCCUUUGGUUGUAUAAAAUAUGAGUAAAGAAGUGUGUACGUGUCAAUGAUUAACCAACUUGAUUAAUCAACUCAAAGAACCACAACUUGUUCUGUGAUUCAAGGUACUGCCACCACAACACACACACACACACACACACACACACACACACACACACACACACACACACACACACACACACACACACACACACACACACACACACACACUACCUGAAAUAUAACAAAUUGUAACACUCAAAUAAGGUCAACAAGACUUGUAAUUUGUGUCUGUAGUAUUUCAUGCAGAGUGAACAUAAACCUGGAGCUGGAACCAGUCGUAAGGCCAUUUCCAGCAGCGGUUCGAGCUGUAGCAACCGCACUAGAACAACCAAUUUCUAAGAAACAUUUUUAAUAAAUGACUGUCUCUCCUGAAAAAGAUCCAUGUCACCUGACGCUGGCUGGCACUGAUUUCGUCACUUCACGUAUAAAAACUCACCCACUAAAAUGAUGUGGCCAUGAGAAAAGUUCUGUUUUAGGAAAAAGUUGUAGGAUUAUUUAGUCAGUAAAAGUAGCUAUGGGAUGAGCGCUCAUUGAAAUACUCUUCGUAACGGGAGUUUGUGUGUGUGUGUGUGUGUGUGUGUGUGUGUGUGUGUGUGUGUGUGUGUGUGUGUGUGUGUGUGUGUGUGUGUGUGUGUGUGUGUGUGUGUGUGUGUGUGUGUGGGGACUUAAUAUUUAAGAAGUUAUACUAUAAAUCCAGAAAAAUAAAUGGGUAACUUGCACAUUAAAGACCAUAUUUGAGGUGAAAUCCUUUCUACUUUUGUAAUAGAUUAAAGGGAAUGAUGAAAUAAUUAAGGACAGCACAACAUUCUCUGAUACAAAUGUAAAUUGUAUCAACACUGGUGUGGUAUGGGUUGCGUCAGACUGCCAUUGGCCCGUGUAUGUCAUGUGACCUCUGACUUUAAAUGCAAAUAAGCCCAGUUCACUGAACAAUUUAGUGAGUACAAAGGUACACUUGAAUAACUGCAUGAGAAAUUAGCAAAUGGUUUAAAAUAUCAUUUUGAAAACAUAAAUUGAAGAUUUACAAAGUAUUUACAGAUUAAUAAUGCUGUAAUUCAUGAAUACUGUCGUUCAGGUAGUUGAAACCCAUUAGUUAUAUUUUGUAAUGCUUUCUAACUACCUAAACUAAUCAUGAAUUGUAGCCUUAUUAAGUGUUGAUGAAGCAUUGUCCAAACCAAGUCGUUAUUUUUUACUAAUAAAUACCGCCAGUUAGCCUAUUCUAUAAAAAGACAGUCAGUGACCCUUCUGCACGGAGCAGAAAUACGAGUGUUUGGAUAAACGGAUUCCUUGCAGUGGUUUCAAUGACAGGAAAAGCCAUGGGUUGGUAGAUGUUUUUGCAAUACUCAUUGUAUUCAUAGUAGACCACGCAACACACACACACACACACACACACACACACGCACGCACACACCACACACACACACACACACACACACACACACACACACACACACACACACACACACACACACACACACACACACACGCUUUGUCUCUUCGUUGAAACGUUGGCAGAUUCCAUACUGAAUACCUAUUCCUUCUGGGUCAUUGUAAAUCCUCAACAACAAACCCCACUGGUGUUAGUCCCUGCAGGGUUUCAUAGCUGCCUUUCACUUUUACACAUGCGUAUUACCGUAUGCAAUCCUCAUAGACAUUGGCGUCAAUAACUUGGCAAUGAUGCACCAGCCACUAGAAAUACACCUUGCUUCUAUGCCUGCAUACAAAUUAAAUCAAUACGGGCUAAGCAAACUCAACAACAUAAAAUACUUUCUUGAUGACAACUACGCUACUAUGUGUAGGCCUACGUGUUUAUCGCAAUCCUUAUGCAGUUAUACGCAAUACGAACGAUUUUAUCAACAAUGUUAAGACCAUAUGUAAAUAUCUGAAGAGAAUUACAAGUAUGUAUUGGAUGAAACGUUUGUUGUAAAUAUAUUUGUCCCAUCCGCCACCAACCAUUUUGGGUCUUGGGUUAUUUUGUGUCUGGCAUAGGAAGUGGAGACGGCGUUAGUUUCCUGCGCAGCGCCUGCUCCGCCUGUAGUUACGGGCUCGAGCCCCAGUCCACACAGAGAGCCGAGGAGAGCUACAGCGUACUAGGUCGACGAGCGAAGAAAAUGGCGAUUAUGCAGGACAAAUGCCUCCCCUCGUAGAUGCUGCGAAUGCGUUGAAAUUUCUUUAGCCUUACAGCCGGCUUUCAUUUCCACUCUGUUGCACUUUAUACUUUUUGAGGUAAGCUGGCUUUCCGUGUUUUUGUGGGUGCGGGGGAACGGGGAUUCGUCGUGCUACGCAGCAAAGCCGGGGCUGUGAAGGCAAGACUGGCGUAGUCGAGUUUGCCCGCUGUUGUUUAGCCAUCACGGAGCUAGCACAACGUUAGCUUAGCACUCGGGAGGAUGCAGGGUUGACGAUGCGUUGGUCAAUGCAAAUGCAUCUAUUCUAUUCUUAAAAGCCAUGAAAACUUGUUCUGAUAGUAUUUAUUUGAUUGGUCAACUCGACGUUUGCACGAUGUGUCUCCUGUUCGAGGGUGAUCUUGAAAAUAGCUAGCAGUGGCUACAGCUAUCCUGCUAGUUAGAUCAUGGCAAUGUACAACCAGUGUUGUCAAUGUCGACAUGUGAUGUAAUGCUGCACAUCCGUCGUAAAUGUGGCUAUUUUCUGCUUUGAUUUCGAAGAGUUUUGGUGGGACAAUUAUUUCGAACCACAUUACAGCGGAGGCUUGUCACUGCCCCCGUAGCUGACCGUAGGCUAUAAAGUUACUGGCCGUCGAAACCACCCUGGAUACUUCGCCAAUCGGAUGGGUCUCAUAACGUUGAUCUCCAUCAUCACUUUCUGUGGAUGCGUAUGUUUUUAAAACUUGGUUCCCCUCAUGCAACUUUUGAUGGUGGGGAAAUAACGAGCUACAGUUCGUGUUUCAACACCCUCUGUCGGCGGCGUAGACCCUGAAACAAGAUGGUUAUGUCGACGAUACCUGCUCUGCCCUGCUCGGUUUCUGGAGGUCUGGUCGUUACUAUGUCCACCGUCUGGUGAACUCGCGGGGACGUUGGUCAAAGCGAAUAGAGUAGACCGUCACAUCGUGUACAGGUACUAACGUUGGUGAUUUUUCUAGAUUUCUGUCAUGGAAAGACGCAAGUCAAAUGAGAGGCCAUGUUGGAUUAGCUGCAAGCCAGUCGACAGCUGAGGUAAUGGCCGAUCAGGACCCGGGCUGUAACCCAGGUCGGAACGGAUCGCUCGAUCUCCAUCUCUCCGUUACGCGCGCGCAAAAUAAGUCCAGUUGCAAGUGUUGGUCCAAAAUGUUCUUUACUUAGAGAGACCUUAAUAUGCCUUUGCAAUGUAGUUUGACCUGCCCAAAGUGUCUUUCCACUAGGAAGUAGGUGGAACAGUUUCACUUUUGUCGUCAGUCGUUUCAGGCGUCCUGUGUGAUGGGGUACCUCUCUGAAUUUUGUUUGACAUAUAAUUAUUGCACCACAAUAUUGUUGUGUAGUAGUUAACCUGUGUAAGCGUUGGGGAUGGGCUUCCUGAGACCAACAACACAAGCGCCUACCUCCAGAUUUAGUGUGGCAAGCUACUAUUGUCAAGCUAUAAUUAAAGGACAAUAAAGCAUUUUUUUGUGCCCGUUUGAGUUGUUCUUUACUAUGUCAAAAUAACGAUGUUUAAGACUUGUUUUGGUUUAUAUAUUUAUGAAAACAAACGCUGAAAUAUAUAAGAUUGUGUUUUUACUCCAUUUAGAGAUUUGGAUUUGGAAGCUGUGGCCACCAAAGAAACUGAAGAGUCAAAACAGGUGAGUGUCAAAGUCUGUGUGCAUGCACGUUACUGAACAUAAUGUAAUAUCGAAAGCCUGGGAUAUUGGCCACUGCCGU
ensembl:lncRNA